rnacentral:rRNA from 1 species
GCACAAGCGGAGGAACAUGUGGUUUAAUUCGAUGAUACGCGAGGAACCUUACCCGGGCUUGAAAUGCAUCUGACCGGCCUUGAAAGAGGUUUUCCCCUUCGGGGCAGAUGUGUAGGUGCUGCAUGGUUGUCGUCAGCUCGUGCCGUGAGGUGUCGGCUUAAGUGCCAUAACGAGCGCAACCCUCAUCAUUAGUUACCAUCAGGUAAGGCUGGGGACUCUAAUGAGACUGCCAUCGUAAGAUGUGAGGAAGGUGGGGAUGACGUCAAAUCAGCACGGCCCUUACGUCCGGGGCGACACACGUGUUACAAUGGGUGGUACAAAGGGCAGCUACCUGGCGACAGGAUGCUAAUCUCCAAAACCACUCUCAGUUCGGAUCGGAGUCUGCAACUCGACUCCGUGAAGCUGGAUUCGCUAGUAAUCGCGCAUCAGCCACGGCGCGGUGAAUACGUUCCCGGGCCUU